GUUCCACUGCCAACACAGAGAGGCAGCAACCUGUGCAGAGAUAAGUUGCACAAGUGUUCGCCCCACCACCACCACCAAAAGAAAUAGCCUUUGCUGCCAUAAGAAGGGCAAAAAGCACGAUGGAGGGAGGGAGCACAGCUGUAACAGUGCACACUUGUUAACCAGGAGAAAAAAGGGGCAACACUCAAGGCGCUGUGAGGCAGCACUGUCCCGAAGAAAGGAACCUUCGUGGGCUGUGGUGGGAAAGCAAGCAACAGGAGGCAUCCCUCCCCACCAGGUGAGCGGGAGUCCAGCCGGUCUCCCCCCACCUCAGUCCCAUUGCCCAGUUAAGCACUGGGGAUGCUGUGGAGAUUUUGGCCCCUGAGCUCAGGCCAGUGAGUUGUGCAGCACUUUAAGACUGAAAUGGGUAAAUAGAGUGUAUAGAGCAGACCUUUGGCUGGGGAAGUGAUGGUCUAUGCCAACUGGGGCUGUACGUGUACUGGGGCUACACGUACACAUAUGUGUGUGCAUAUAUAUAUAUAUAUAUAUACACACACACACAUCCCUGCAUGGAAUGUGGGCUGUAAGGCCAGUGGCACUGGCGGCGACUGUGACUUUCCAGCCUGGGCCCUCAUGGUUCCUUUCCUGCGCCUACCAUCCCUGGCUAGGUGAUAUCAUCUCUUCCAGGGAAACAUCUGGUCCUGAUUUCAGGCCUGCCGGUGACUGAGCCACCGCCGGCUUUCUAGGCAAUGUGCCCUACAGAUUAAUUACUUUCACAGUUGAAAACGUGCACCUUGAUUUUCAGUCUGAAUUUGUCUGGCCUCAACUGCUGGCAGCUGGUUCUCAUAAAUGCCCUUUUCUGCCCGAUUAAAGAGCCCUUUGAUAUCAGGAAUCUCUCUCUUUCUUGAAAUGCCUGUAGAUCAAAUCACUCCUUGGAAGAACCAGAGUGAUCAUGCCUUUUUAAACUGCACACCAUAGGGUGGGUUGUCCAACUUCAAACCUUUCCAGAUUGAGCCAUGUGGCAUUAAAUAUCCUUUGGCAUCCACACCUGUUCCUGCAUCCUUCACUGGCACCAGGAAGGGCUGCCUGCCAGCCCAGGAUGCUUGAUGCCUUCAAGAUGGCAGACACAGCCACGUGUGGAGCGGCGGAGAGCAGAGACUUUGGGAGAGACCUGACAGAUGCAUUUGGCCAUGGAGGGGCUGCUCCUCAAGUGUAAAAACACUGAUGAAAAUAAAUUUGCUGCUUUUUCUGCUGCUGAGGAA